AUGAACGCUGGCGGCGUGCCUAAUACAUGCAAGUCGAGCGAACAGAUGAGGAGCUUGCUCCUCUGACGUCAGCGGCGGACGGGUGAGUAACACGUGGAUAACCUACCUAUAAGACUGGGAUAACUUCGGGAAACCGGAGCUAAUACCGGAUAAUAUAUUGAACCGCAUGGUUCAAUAGUGAAAGACGGUUUUGCUGUCACUUAUAGAUGGAUCCGCGCCGCAUUAGCUAGUUGGUAAGGUAACGGCUUACCAAGGCAACGAUGCGUAGCCGACCUGAGAGGGUGAUCGGCCACACUGGAACUGAGACACGGUCCAGACUCCUACGGGAGGCAGCAGUAGGGAAUCUUCCGCAAUGGGCGAAAGCCUGACGGAGCAACGCCGCGUGAGUGAUGAAGGUCUUCGGAUCGUAAAACUCUGUUAUUAGGGAAGAACAAAUGUGUAAGUAACUAUGCACGUCUUGACGGUACCUAAUCAGAAAGCCACGGCUAACUACGUG
rnacentral:rRNA from 1 species